UACGGGGGGAGCAAGCGUUGUUCGGAUUACUGGGCGUAAAGGGCGCGUAGGCGGUCAGCACAAGUCAGUUGUGAAAUCUCCGGGCUUAACUCGGAAAGGUCAACUGAUACUGUGCGACUAGAGUGCAGAAGGGGCAACUGGAAUUCUCGGUGUAGCGGUGAAAUGCGUAGAUAUUCGGAAGAACACCAGUGGCGAAGGCGGCUCACUGGUCCGGUACUGACGCUGAUGUGCGAAAGCGUGGGGAGCAAACAGG
rnacentral:rRNA from 1 species